rnacentral:lncRNA from 1 species
GGGCAGCCUCUCAGAGCUACUAAGGGCCCAGAUGUCAAAACAUCAGAAUCCAAGAACAGGCUGAGUUCAAGGAACCUGUCCUCUUGCCCAUACCUGCCCAGAGCAGGGCUCAGUAACCAGGAGAAGCUGUAGCUCUAGACUGGGAGCCGGAGAGAGGAGGAUCCCUGCCUUUUUGGUGGUACCGACUUGGAUUCUAGCUCCUGGAGUGCUUUCUCUAAGACAGAGCUUGGGACUGGGGGCUGAGCUAGUUCUGUCCGCAGAUGCUCCCUGUUCUUAUGAAGAUUUGGUAGAUUUUCUUGAAUAAAUGCUUCUCCAUGUUGGUAUGUCAGCAGAGCAAUUUCCAGAGACUUUAAAUGAUUGUUUUUAUAACUUUCUCCAGGUGAACGGUUGUUUGCUAGGGAGAACAUCUGCUGCGGUCCUCACGCUCCAUCCCAGAGGUCAGUCUCCUGCAGUUAAUCCUAAUACAAGGAAGAAAAAAAAAGAACUAAAUUACAAGAGUGAACAGUCCCUGUUGGCUGGAAAGUGCUGGGGAUCUGGAGUGAAUAAAUAUUCCUGAAAUGAGACGAUCACAACCUUGUGUGGGGAGCCUGAGGUCGAAGGGGAGUGGUUACUGGAGCUAUUGGGGAUACCACAGCCUGUAACAGAUGACAUCAUUUCCAC